AGGUCCUUACCUUUUUUUCUUCUUUUGACGCACUUUCAUCACGUUAGUCUUGUCUUAGCUUUUCUCAUUCCAUCAUUUCCUUUUCGGACAGAAGAGUCAAACACUUGUGCCAAUCUGCCUUACUUUGGAUGCUUGUCUGUUAUCAGCUGGUACUAUCCGAUUUUGAAUACUUGCAUGGAAUGGUACUGUACAAUUUUGAACAAUUUUGUCUAUUAUUGGACAGUCCAUGCAAUUUAGGAAACUUUUGACUGUUUUUGGAUCAUAGGGUUUGAUUUUGAGCAAUGUCUCUUUGGGGAUGGCCUUAUGGUCCAAUUUUGGACACCUAUGAUUGUUUUACAAUGCAUUUAAGAUGAUAGUGCCUGUUUGUGACCUCAUCUGUCAGUCUUUGGAUGGUACCAUUCGAUUUUGACGACCUGUUGUCAGGAAAGGGUUCUUUGAAAAAAACUGUAUACUAAUCAAAUGUGAAUUUUGACUGGGGAAGGCUAGGUUGGUCUCUAUGGUUUCCUCUUAGCAUUUGCUUGUGUUGCAAAAAUAGACCCUAGCUAAUAUGUCCUUGCCUGUGCACUUUUUUCAAAGAUUGGAAACAAGAAAUGAAGAUAAAGCAAGCAACUCCAUCACCAUUUUAUAUUGGUGUUGUGGAGAUAAAGUACUUCUAUUUGAGGGCGUCAUGGUAACCUCUUCAUCUUUUGAAAGCAAUUCCUCUUAAUAAGGGAACAUCAGGUAUUAAUGCUGGACUUAUGUACUUACAUGAAAUUGAAACAAACAAACACACUUAUCUUAACUUUUGGCUGACUUAUCACAGGUCCUUGACAGCAUUGACUUUUGUGUCUGAUGAGUGAGAGGAAUAACUUUUAAGUUAAAGUUGAUAUAAAAAGCCAGAGUUGCCCUGAGGUGUAUAACAUUUAGGCAGGAGGUCAGCACACUAAGGCAGCAGAAAGAACUCCAAGGGCUAAGCUCUCACUUCAAAAGAACUCUAUAAUGCCAGUUGAAGACAGCCCAUAGAUGGGGAGUGAAAAACACCCAUAAAAGGAGUGCUGGAAUGGAUAUAUUUUUAGAAGCUUUUAAUCAUUGGCCUUCUUCCCUUUUUUGGAACUAAUUCAACUUAGAGGAGAUAAACUUUACAGUCAAGUCUUAAUAGUGUGGUUCAAGAGCAAAGUGAAA